rnacentral:misc_RNA from 1 species
AACGCACAUUGCGCCCCUUGGUAUUCCAUGGGGCAUGCCUGUUCGAGCGUCAUUUGUACUCUCAAGCUUUGCUUGGUGUUGGGUGUUUUGUCCUCUCCUCAGCGUUUGGACUCGCCUCAAAACAAUUGGCAGCCAGUGUAUUGGUAUGGAAACGCAGCACAAUUUGCGGCUCUAGCUAAUCAUCACUGGCACCCACAAGCCUAUUUUAACACGCUUGACCUCGGAUCAGGUAGGGAUACCCGCUGAACUUAA